CCUACGGGAGGCAGCAGUGGGGAAUUUUGGACAAUGGGGGCAACCCUGAUCCAGCCAUUCCGCGUGAGUGAAGAAGGCCUUCGGGUUGUAAAGCUCUUUCGCAAGGGAAGAAAACUUAUGAUCGAAUAAAUCAUGAGGUUGACGGUACCUUGAUAAGAAGCACCGGCUAACUACGUGCCAGCAGCCGCGGUAAUACGUAGGGUGCGAGCGUUAAUCGGAAUUACUGGGCGUAAAGCGUGCGCAGGCGGUUUUGUAAGUCGGAUGUGAAAUCCCCGGGCUCAACCUGGGAACUGCGUUCGAAACUGCAAGGCUAGAGUGUGUCAGAGGGGGGUAGAAUUCCACGUGUAGCAGUGAAAUGCGUAGAGAUGUGGAGGAAUACCAAUGGCGAAGGCAGCCCCCUGGGAUAACACUGACGCUCAUGCACGAAAGCGUGGGGAGCAAACAGGAUUAGAUACCCUGGUAGUCCACGCCCUAAACGAUGUCAACUAGUUGUUGGUAGAGUAAAAUCUAUGAGUAACGUAGCUAACGCGUGAAGUUGACCGCCUGGGGAGUACGGUCGCAAGAUUAAAACUUAAAUGAAUUGACGG
rnacentral:rRNA from 1 species